AACGCACAUUGCGCCCUCUGGUAUUCCGGGGGGCAUGCCUGUUCGAGCGUCAUUAUAACCACUCAAGCUCUCGCUUGGUAUUGGGGUUCGCGUCCUCGCGGCCUCUAAAAUCAGUGGCGGUGCCUGUCGGCUCUACGCGUAGUAAUACUCCUCGCGAUUGAGUCCGGCAGGUUUACUUGCCAGUAACCCCCAAUUUUUUACAGGUUGACCUCGGAUCAGGUAGGGAUACCCGCUGAACUUAA
rnacentral:misc_RNA from 1 species